ACUACGGGUGGCUGCAGUGGGGAAUAUUGCACAAUGGGGGAAACCCUGAUGCAGCGACGCCGCGUGAGUGAAGAAGUAUUUCGGUAUGUAAAGCUCUAUCAGCAGGGAAGAAAAAAGACGGUACCUGACUAAGAAGCCCCGGCUAACUACGUGCCAGCAGCCGCGGUAAUACGUAGGGGGCAAGCGUUAUCCGGAUUUACUGGGUGUAAAGGGAGCGUAGACGGCGCGGCAAGUCUGAAGUGAAAGGGAGGGGCUUAACCCCUGAACUGCUUUGGAAACUGCCAUGCUAGAGUGCUGGAGAGGUAAGUGGAAUUCCUAGUGUAGCGGUGAAAUGCGUAGAUAUUAGGAGGAACACCAGUGGCGAAGGCGGCUUACUGGACAGUAACUGACGUUGAGGCUCGAAAGCGUGGGGAGCAAACAGGAUUAGAUACCCGGGUAGUC
rnacentral:rRNA from 1 species